GGCUCGAGGACGAACGCUGGCGGCGUGCCUAACACAUGCAAGUCGAACGGGGUAGAGAGCUUCGGUUUUCACUUAGUGGCGAACGGGUGAGUAACGCGUGAAGAACCUGCCUUUCAGUGGGGGACAACAGUUGGAAACGACUGCUAAUACCGCAUAAUGUUAUUUGGGGGCAUCCCUGAAUAACCAAAGAUUUAUUGCUGAAAGAUGGUCUCGCGUCUGAUUAGCUAGUUGGUGAGGUAACGGCUCACCAAGGCGACGAUCAGUAGCCGGUCUGAGAGGAUGAACGGCCACAUUGGGACUGAGAUACGGCCCAGACUCCUACGGGAGGCAGCAGUGGGGAAUAUUGGGCAAUGGACGCAAGUCUGACCCAGCAACGCCGCGUGAAGGAAGAAGGCUUUCGGGUUGUAAACUUCUUUUAAGGGGGAAGAGUAGAAGACGGUACCCCUUGAAUAAGCCACGGCUAACUACGUG
rnacentral:rRNA from 1 species